AUGCAGUCGCACGGACCUUUCGGGGUGAGUGGCGGACGGGUGAGUAUCGCGUAGGGAUCUAUCCAUGGGUGGGGGAUAACAUCGGGAAACUGGUGCUAAUACCGCAUGAUACCUGAGGGUCAAAGGCGCAAGUCGCCUGUGGAGGAGCCUGCGUUCGAUUAGCUUGUUGGUGGGGUAAAGGCCUACCAAGGCGAUGAUCGAUAGCUGGUCUGAGAGGAUGAUCAGCCACACUGGGACUGAGACACGGCCCAGACUCCUACGGGAGGCAGCAGUGGGGAAUAUUGGACAAUGGGCGAAAGCCUGAUCCAGCAAUGCCGCGUGUGUGAAGAAGGUCUUCGGAUUGUAAAGCACUUUCGACGGGGACGAUGAUGACGGUACCCGUAGAAGAAGCCCCGGCUAACUUCGUGCCAGCAGCCGCGGUAAUACGAAGGGGGCUAGCGUUGCUCGGAAUGACUGGGCGUAAAGGGCGCGUAGGCGGUUUACACAGUCAGAUGUGAAAUUCCAGGGCUUAACCUUGGGGCUGCAUUUGAUACGUGUAGACUAGAGUGUGAGAGAGGGUUGUGGAAUUCCCAGUGUAGAG
rnacentral:rRNA from 1 species